rnacentral:tRNA from 1 species
GGUAAAAUGACUGAGAAUUGUAAGUGAUAAAUUGUAAAUUUAUUUAGGAGAUUAAAUCUCUUUUACCA